AUUGAACGCUGGCGGCAUGCCUAACACAUGCAAGUCGAACGGUAACGGGCCUCUUGGUGCCGGCGAGUGGGGAGCGGGGGAGUGAUACACCUGAACGUGCCCUAGCGUGGGGGAUAACAAGUCGGAAGCUUUGCGAAUAUCGCACACGAUCUACGGAUGAGAGCAGGGGAGCGCAUGGGCUUGCGCGGACGGAGCGGCCGAGGGCAGAUUAGGUAGUUGGUGGGGUAAAAGCUUACCAAGCCGACGAUCUGUAUCUGGUGUGAGAGGAUGAGCAGCCACACUGGGACUGAGACACGGCCCAGACUCCUACGGGAGGCAGCAGUGGGGAAUUUUGGACAAUGGGCGCAAGCCUGAUCCAGCCAUGCCGCGUGUAGGAUGAAGGCCUUCGGGUUGUAAAGUGCGUUUGUACGGAACGAAAAGCCUUCUUUUAAUACAGGGGGGUCAUGACGGUACCGUAAGAAUAAGCACCGGCUAACUACGUG
rnacentral:rRNA from 1 species